rnacentral:rRNA from 1 species
GGCUUACUUUGACUCAACACGGGGAAACUCACCAGGUCCAGACAUGACUAGGAUUGACAGAUUGAUAGCUCUUUCUUGAUUUUAUGGGUGGUGGUGCAUGGCCGUUCUUAGUUGGUGGAGUGAUUUGUCUGGUUAAUUCCGAUAACGAACGAGACCUUCACGUGCUAAAUAGCCGGACGGGCCACGGCCCGUCCCGGGCUUCUUAAACGGACUAUCGGCGUCUAGCCGAUGGAAGUUGGAGGCAAUAACAGGUCUGUGAUGCCCUUAGAUGUUCUGGGCCGCACGCGCGCUACACUGACGGGGCCAGCGAGUUUCCUACCUUGGCCGGAAGGUCUGGGUAAUCUUGUGAAACCCCGUCGUGCUGGGGAUANAGCAUUGCAAUUAUUGCUCUUCAACGAGGAAUUCCUAGUAGGCGUGAGUCAUCAGCUCGCGUCGAUUACGUCCCUGCCCUUUGUACACACCGCCCGUCGCUACUACCGAUUGAACGGCUUANUGAGGUCUUCGGAUUGGCUUCGGGGAUCCGGAUACGGCGCCCUGUCUCCGAAAAGUCGAUCAAACUUGGUCGUUUAGA